UCCUAAAUUAAUAAAUUACUCUUUUUGUUUUUAAGCUAAGUUUUGGAGUCUUGAAUUCUUGCAAAAGUUAUCCUUCCCAAACCCCAGGGGUACACAUCUGAACUCCAUAACAUUUUUGGUGCCCAACAUGUUUGGCUCUCCUGAAAGCUACUCUUUUACCCCGGAUCAUCCACGAGGACGCAGCUUCUAAGUGCUUUGCAGAAGGCUGCAACAAUCUCCUCAGAAAACUGGGAGAAAAUACCUUCCAUUGUCUGGGAUCAAGGCAUACUGGGAAGAGCCCUUCAGGCGGAUCAGGAGACCCCACCUCCCAUGACUGGGAGGAGUUGAUAGACCACACCUUCUGCAGCCCACCAGACCUCAGAGAUUCUCCUCUCCCUGAGGCAGAGGUCAGCUGGAAUACAGAUGGGUCCUCUUUAUGGAGAAUGGGAUUAUACUGGACUUAAGCCACUCAAGUGCAAACAGUGCCUCCAGCAAUCGUCAAUAGAGAAAGACAGCCUGGCUGCUUCUAACAGCACACCUGGCACUGGGAGCCGACUGCCAGAGGAAUAAAACCUUUGAACAUCAGCUGAAUCCCUGGCUG
rnacentral:lncRNA from 1 species